GAUGAACGCUGGCGGCGUGCCUAAUACAUGCAAGUCGAGCGAACGGACGAGAAGCUUGCUUCUCUGAUGUUAGCGGCGGACGGGUGAGUAACACGUGGAUAACCUACCUAUAAGACUGGGAUAACUUCGGGAAACCGGAGCUAAUACCGGAUAAUAUUUUGAACCGCAUGGUUCAAAAGUGAAAGACGGUCUUGCUGUCACUUAUAGAUGGAUCCGCGCUGCAUUAGCUAGUUGGUAAGGUAACGGCUUACCAAGGCAACGAUGCAUAGCCGACCUGAGAGGGUGAUCGGCCACACUGGAACUGAGACACGGUCCAGACUCCUACGGGAGGCAGCAGUAGGGAAUCUUCCGCAAUGGGCGAAAGCCUGACGGAGCAACGCCGCGUGAGUGAUGAAGGUCUUCGGAUCGUAAAACUCUGUUAUUAGGGAAGAACAUAUGUGUAAGUAACUGUGCACAUCUUGACGGUACCUAAUCAGAAAGCCCGGCUAACUACGUGGCAGCAGCCCGCGGUAUACGUAGGUGGCAGCGUUAUCCGGAAUAUUGGGUGUAAGCGCGCGUAGGCGGUUUUUUAGUCUGAUGUGAAAGCCCACGGCUCAACCGUGGAGGGUCAUUGGAAACUGGAAAACUUGAGUGCAGAAGAGGAAAGUGGAAUUCCAUGUGUAGCGGUGAAAUGCGCAGAGAUAUGGAGGAACACCAGUGGCGAAGGCGACUUUCUGGUCUGUAACUGACGCUGAUGUGCGAAAGCGUGGGGAUCAAACAGGAUUAGAUACCCUGGUAGUCCACGCCGUAAACGAUGAGUGCUAAGUGUUAGGGGGUUUCCGCCCCUUAGUGCUGCAGCUAACGCAUUAAGCACUCCGCCUGGGGAGUACGACCGCAAGGUUGAAACUCAAAGGAAUUGACGGGGACCCGCACAAGCGGUGGAGCAUGUGGUUUAAUUCGAAGCAACGCGAAGAACCUUACCAAAUCUUGACAUCCUUUGACAACUCUAGAGAUAGAGCUUUCCCCUUCGGGGGACAAAGUGACAGGUGGUGCAUGGUUGUCGUCAGCUCGUGUCGUGAGAUGUUGGGUUAAGUCCCGCAACGAGCGCAACCCUUAAGCUUAGUUGCCAUCAUUAAGUUGGGCACUCUAAGUUGACUGCCGGUGACAAACCGGAGGAAGGUGGGGAUGACGUCAAAUCAUCAUGCCCCUUAUGAUUUGGGCUACACACGUGCUACAAUGGACAAUACAAAGGGCAGCGAAACCGUGAGGUCAAGCAAAUCCCAUAAAGUUGUUCUCAGUUCGGAUUGUAGUCUGCAACUCGACUACAUGAAGCUGGAAUCGCUUGUAAUCGUAGAUCAGCAUGCUACGGUGAAUACGUUCCCGGGUCU
rnacentral:rRNA from 1 species